rnacentral:rRNA from 1 species
CCUACGGGAGGCUGCAGUAGGGAAUAUUGCUCAAUGGGGGAAACCCUGAAGCAGCAACGCCGCGUGGAGGAUGAAGGUUUUCGGAUUGGAAACUCCUUUUGGUAGAGAAGAUAAUGACGGUAUCUAACGAAUAAGCACCGGCUAACUCCGUGCCAGCAGCCGCGGUAAUACGGAGGGUGCAAGCGUUAAUCCGAAUCACUGGGCGUAAAGAGCGCGUAGGCGGGAUAGCAAGUCAGAUGUGAAAUCCUAUGGCCUAACCAUAGAACUGCAUUUGAAACUGUUAUUCUAGAGUAUGGGAGAGGUAGGUGGAAUUCUUGGUGUAGGGGUAAAAUCCGUAGAGAUCAAGCGGAAUACUCAUUGCGAAGGCGACCUGCUAGAACAUAACUGACGCUGAUGCGCGAAAGCGUGGGGAGCAAACAGGAUUAGAUACCCGGGUAGUC